rnacentral:rRNA from 1 species
UAGACGAGAAGACCCUGUUGAGCUUGGUAUGGCGAAGCCUUUGUGGGUUUGAGGUAUGUUUUUUCGGGACUGAAAGGAAGGGAGUUAAUGCCUUCUAUUAUAGAAUACGGAUCCGGCAUGGCCGAGUUGAAGAAGAUAGCUACCACAGGGAUAACAGCGCAAUCUCCUUGAUAAGAUCAUAUUUAAGAGGUGGUUUGCGACCUCGAUGUUG